rnacentral:rRNA from 1 species
GAACGCUCGUAGCAAUACGGGAGUGGCAGACGGGUGAGUAACGCGUGGGAACCUUCCCAGUGGUACGGAAUAGCUCAGGGAAACUUGAGGUAAUACCGUAUAAGCCCCUAGGGGGAAAGAUUUAUCGCCAUUGGAUGGGCCCGCGUCGGAUUAGCUAGUUGGUGGGGUAAUGGCUCACCAAGGCGACGAUCCGUAGCUGGUCUGAGAGGAUGAUCAGCCACACUGGGACUGAGACACGGCCCAGACUCCUACGGGAGGCAGCAGUGGGGAAUAUUGGACAAUGGGCGCAAGCCUGAUCCAGCCAUGCCGCGUGAGUGACGAAGGCCUUAGGGUUGUAAAGCUCUUUUAGCGGGGAAGAUAAUGACGGUACCCGCAGAAUAAGCUCCGGCUAACUUCGUG